rnacentral:rRNA from 1 species
UACAGAGGUCCCGAGCGUUGUUCGGAUUCACUGGGCGUAAAGGGUGCGUAGGUGGUGAGGUAAGUCGGAUGUGAAAUCUCCGAGCUCAACUCGGAAAUGGCAUUGGAAACUACCUUGCUUGAGGGUUGGAGGGGGGACUGGAAUACUUGGUGUAGCAGUGAAAUGCGUAGAUAUCAAGUGGAACACCAGUGGCGAAGGCGAGUCCCUGGACAACUCCUGACACUGAGACACGAAAGCUAGGGGAGCAAACAGG